rnacentral:rRNA from 1 species
AGUGAACGCUGGCGGUGUGCUUAACACAUGCAAGUCGAACGAGAACGGAUUAUAGCUUGCUAUAAUUGUCAGCUAAGUGGCGCACGGGUGAGUAAUGUAUAGGUAAUAUGCCUCUUACUAAGGGAUAACAAAUGGAAACGUUUGCUAAUACCUUAUACUCCUUAUUAACAGAAGUUAAUAAGGGAAAGAUUUAUUGGUAAGAGAUUAGCCUGUAUUGUAUCAGUUAGUUGGUGGGGUAAUGGCUUACCAAGACUAUGACACAUAACUGGUUUGAGAGGAUGAUCAGUCACACUGGAACUGAGACACGGUCCAGACUCCUACGGGAGGCAGCAGUGGGGAAUAUUGCACAAUGGACGAACGUCUGAUGCAGCAACGCCGCGUGGAGGAUGACACAUUUCGGUGCGUAAACUCCUUUUAUAUGAGAAGAUAAUGACGGUAUUAUAUGAAUAAGCACCGGCUAACUCCGUGCCAGCCGCCGCGGUAA